UACGUAGGGUGCGAGCGUUGUCCGGAAUUACUGGGCGUAAAGAGCUCGUAGGUGGUUUGUCGCGUUGUUCGUGAAAUCUCACGGCUUAACUGUGAGCGUGCGGGCGAUACGGGCAGACUAGAGUACUGCAGGGGAGACUGGAAUUCCUGGUGUAGCGGUGGAAUGCGCAGAUAUCAGGAGGAACACCGGUGGCGAAGGCGGGUCUCUGGGCAGUAACUGACGCUGAGGAACGAAAGCGUGGGGAGCGAACAGG
rnacentral:rRNA from 1 species